rnacentral:rRNA from 1 species
UACGUAGGGGGCGAGCGUUGUCCGGAUUUACUGGGCGUAAAGAGCGCGUAGGCGGAAAUUUAAGCGUGGCCUGAAAGCCCCCGGCUCAACCGGGGAGUGCGGCUGCGAACUGGGUUUCUUGAGGACGAUAGAGGAGAGUGGAAUUCCUGGUGUAGCGGUGAAAUGCGUAGAUAUCAGGAGGAACACCCGAGGCGAAGGCGGCUCUCUGGGCCGAUACUGACGCUGAGGAGCGAAAGCGUGGGGAGCGAACAGG